CCCCUUGCUCUCGCGCGCGCCGCUUCAGCUUCCCCGGCCAAAUCCGGCCACCAAUUGGACCGGGUCUUGUGUCCAAAAUCAUCUACUCGGCGAGAGCUUUCCAUAGACACCAAGAACGCCGAAAUCCAUCGAGCGAAUUGUCCGAUUUUUGCUCGGGAAGAUUUUAGCCCAUUUCGACUUUUGGGCUAGAUUUCUCGAAAACCGUGAAUCCCACGAGAAAACCGAGGCCACCAGCACGCUCCAUUCGUCGAGAGCUUCGCAACGACAUAAAUUUCGAAUUUUUCCGACACCGUUUUUCGGUGGGUCCCACGGAACUUCACAGUGUAUCCUCGAUUCGCCGAAAUUCGACAGUUGACCGGGUCUGCAAAUUUCGGGCCAGACAGACCCGUUACCGGAAAAGUCUUCGAAUUGGACCGAGGUUUUGGCUAGCCCCCCAUUGUCAGAUGUCCCGAGCGCGUUCCCAAAGUCGGAAUCGGCAAAGGUGAGCCGGGACAGCCUUCUUCCUCCGCCCAGCCGCCACAGUGAUUGUCG